ensembl:lncRNA
CAGCAGAGUUGUUUGCCAAAGAGUGACUAUCAAGGCCUUGACUAAUGUUCUAAGGAGGGCACAAUGUUCCACUCCCAAAACAAUGUAACCCAGUGGUUUUCAGCAAGGAAACUGAUAAAUUUCCCAAAGGAAUUCCUUACUGUCAGUAAGACCUCUGAAAAUUCACUAGUGAGAAUAAAUGCCACGAAAUCUAACAUUAGUAUUCUGAACUGAAUUUGCUUAUGCCAGACCUCUAAACAAUAAAUUGUGUUCUGCUGUGUUGCUAUGCCCGUUCAUGAGGCAAGCCAUUUUAAAGUAAAGCAUCUUGGAGAUUCCAUAAGAGCAGAAUGUGGAAGGGGUGUACUGCUUUAGGCUAGGGGAAAACAGCAAAAAAAAAAAAAAAAUAGUGGAUGAAGUAUAUUCUUAGGGGAGACUUGGAGAGCAAACUACAGGAAGUGCUGAGGAAGGAAGAAGGACACCGUGGAUCAUGGUGGAAGGCCCACGUGGACGCAAAGCAGCAAGCACAGACACAGCACAUGACCCCAGGAGCCGAGAGCGGGAGACUGCACCAGCUUUGGAGAGUGAGCUGUCGGACACAUUGCUGGGGAAAGCCAGACAUGAGCCUCCUUCAGCACCGGACACAGCCUAGGAUCCUGCUGGGCUCAGGACCUCCCCUCCCAUCUCUAGUCCCACGAGGAAUGUUUGUUCCCGUUCUCUGCUGGGGGAGUUUUUUCAUGGCGGGGCCUCAUCCUCGACGAAGCUGUGGGACUCAGAGCCAGGCUCUGUGUGGCCCGACGAUCCUGCUGACCCCGGCCUCCUGUAGACCAUGGGCCGCCAUACCCCUGGCCGCAUUUCCAGCUUUUCAAGUGGGAAGAAACCACCCUGCGUCCCAGGACUUGCACUUCUGUGGGCCAUCCUCAGCAAGACAUUUUCAUGGAUAUGAAACUGGACACCGAGUUGACGCUGCAGUUCAGCUGCUGGGUAAUCUUCCAUUUCUGGAACCUCCUUGGCUUCCUGGUAAAACCCAGCUGUGCCUUCACCCUGGACAGGAGCAACUGGUUAGUACAUGUGGCUGCGCCCUGUUGAUGGCAACCCUUGGGCCCAAAGGGGAACGGAGGGAAGGGAAGGGAACCCUGUUCCCUGCAGUUGGGCUGGCCAGGCUGAGAACAAGGUGGACUUCCAACCUUUGGGAUGGAGGGUCAACUCGGGGAGCCCUAUAUACAUGUGGAGACAGAAUGUGGGGGCCUAGCAUUCCUAGAAUUGAGUGGGGGCCACAGAGACAGAAGUGAAUAAGAUGUUGGUGAAUGAGUUCCCUGGUUCUUUGUAGUUUAUUAAGGCCCAUAGAACAUGCUAAGCAGGGAAGACUGGGUUUCCAGGCAGUGGGAGGGAGACCUGGAAGGAAAACUUCAUGUGUUGACUCAGAGUACAAAACAUAAGAUGUCUCGUUUUAGGAGACCUGGUAAUAGUUUUUGGGUUUUAGAAUUUCAAGCUAAGGAUAAUUGGAUUGCAAGUACUUCAUGCAGCGGCAGUAGAGAGUUAGAUGCUAUGGAAGAACCUGGGUCAUGCAAGGUUUGGGGAGCUGAAAACAGGUUAUUUCUGUAUGUCACUAUCCUAUGAUAGGUAAAAUGGAAGGAUUGUGGAUAGGAAGGCAGGUGACUUUGAGGAGAGUUGUAAUAGGGAGGAGCUGGUAGGUCUACAUGUAAGAACCAGUGGAACAUCAUAGUGUGAUAUCCGGGACAGGGCCUGGGGAGAAACCUUAGGAAAGGUGAGGGAAAGGAUAUCAGGAGGCGGGCAGAGGGAACUUCCAGGAGGGACUGGGGAAUGGGUGCUGAGUUAAUCAGGAAAUUUGAGCAAAGUCUACAGAGUACCAAGAGAUGGAGAGGAUCUUAUCUGAAAUAAAAUAAGGGUUGAUAGGGGCUUGGGAACCUGG